GAUGAACGCUAGCGGCAGGCCUAACACAUGCAAGUCGAGGGAGAAGCCCUUUCGGGGGCAGAAACCGGCGCACGGGUGCGUAACGCGUAUGCAACCUGCCUUUCACAGGGGGAUAGCCCGAAGAAAUUUGGAUUAAUACCCCAUAAUAUUAUUGGAUGGCAUCAUUUGAUAAUUAAAACUGCGGUGGUGAAAGAUGGGCAUGCGUCCUAUUAGCUAGUUGGAGUGGUAACGGCACCCCAAGGCUACGAUAGGUAGGGGUCCUGAGAGGGAGAUCCCCCACACUGGUACUGAGACAGGGACCAGACUCCUACGGGAGGCAGCAGUGAGGAAUAUUGGUCAAUGGUCGGAAGUCUGAACCAGCCAUGCCGCGUGCAGGAAGAAUGCCUUAUGGGUUGUAAACUGCUUUUAUAUGGGAAGAAUAAGGCGUACGUGUACGUUGAUGACGGUACCAUAUGAAUAAGCAUCGGCUAACUCCGUG
rnacentral:rRNA from 1 species